GUGCCAGCCGCCGCGGUAAUACCGGCAGCCCAAGUGAUGUCCCAUCUUAUUGGGCCUAAAGCGUCCGUAGCUGGCCGAGCAAGUCUCCCGGGAAAUCCACCCGCCCAACGGGUGGGCGUCCGGUGGAAACUGGACGGCUUGGCACCGGAAGGCUCAGAGAGUACGUCCGGGGUAGGAGUGAAAUCCCGUAAUCCCGGACGGACUACCGAUGGCGAAAGCACUCUGAGAAGACGGAUUCGACAGUGAGGGACGAAAGCUCGGGUCUCAAACCGGAUUAGAUACCCCAGUAGUCC
rnacentral:rRNA from 1 species